GCCUGACUCCACAGGCCAAGAAGGGUGGAAUGAAACCUGAGUCCUCUCAGAAGCCCAGCUUUGUCAAGUGCCCUGUCUGUGGGCCUCACAUUCAACAACUCGCAUCUCAGCGGGCCUCUGACCAUGCAGAGAAGCUAGUGAAGCACAAAGUGUGCUGUAACACCUGGCAGGGGAUCGGAGCCCACAACAGGAGUCUUCAGUAAUCCAGGACAUUUGCUCAUUCAUAAGUGGAUGAAGCCAAGACAACAUAAAUGAGAGAUCAUAUCCAGUAGAUUGAGGACCCAAACAAAACUAAACAGAGCAAAAUGAAUGUUAUACUGGGGAUGUAAAAUUUAAAUAUCCUGGUCAUCAAGAGAGGAGAAAUUUAAUAGGGAGUCCAGAUGUUAUUUAAGAACCCUGAAAAAAGUGAAUUUUAAGAAUAAGUCUAAAGGAAAAAUAACUCCAACAUGUGUUACAAAGAGAACAACCCAGUUUCAGAACAGUUGAAUUACAUAUUAGGUUAUGGUAAUUUAUGAACUUACCCACUGGACAUGUAUAAGACACUGUACCCAAAAUUUCAAGAAAUGCAAUAUUUUCAAAUAUGUAUUUGAUGUAACAUUUACUAAAUAAUGAGCAACAAACUAGUCUCAAACAAUUUCAAGGAUUAAAAUAAUUUAGAUUUAUAUUAUGACCAUAUUGGAAAUAAGCUAGAAGGUAACUACAGAAAGAUAAAAUGCUUUUUAUAAGAUUUUAUAAUUUAUAUGAUAUUAAGACAUGCACUUGGGGACUGGGGAUAUAGCUCAGUGGCACAGUGCUUGUCUUGGAAGCAUGAGGUCAUGAGUUUGAUUUCCGGUACCACACACACACACAAAAAAAUUGACAUACACUUGGAGCUGGGAAUGUAGUUAGCUGAUAAAGUGCUUGCAUAGCAUGUGGAGGCCUGAUGUUCAUUCUUCAGUAUCACCAACACCAACAAUAAAAACAGACACACAUUUAUGAAUCAUAUACUAAUCAAUAAAUGAAUUCCUAUGGAAAUUAGAAAAUAUUCUGAAGUGAAUGAUAGUAAAAAUAUGACUGUCAAAAUUUAUUAGUGAGAUUUUAGCUGAAUUUGUAAAGCUGUAUAUAUAUAUAAGGAAAUAAAACAUGCAGAAAUUCAAGGGUGUAAGUUUUUAUUUCAAAAAAUUUGAAAAAAAG
rnacentral:lncRNA from 1 species